rnacentral:rRNA from 1 species
UACGGAGGGUGCAAGCGUUAUCCGGAUUCACUGGGUUUAAAGGGUGCGUAGGUGGGUUUGUAAGUCAGUGGUGAAAUCUCCAAGCUUAACUUGGAAAUUGCCGUUGAUACUAUAAAUCUUGAAUGUUGUGGAGGUGAGCGGAAUAUGUCAUGUAGCGGUGAAAUGCUUAGAUAUGACAUAGAACACCAAUUGCGAAGGCAGCUCACUACACAAAGAUUGACACUGAGGCACGAAAGCGUGGGGAGCAAACAGG